rnacentral:lncRNA from 1 species
GAGAGCAACAGAGCCCGUGAUUUGUGGUCCUGAGACAUGGAAGUGCUUAAUCCAUAUUUUGGCUUCUGAGAAUCCGGUUGGAGAUGAGUAGCUGGGAAACUUAGGACUGUCCCACUCCUGGGAGAAUGAAUGAGGUCAUGUUUGUAGAGGGCUUUGAGCUGAUGGGAGGAAAGCAACUUCCUAAAUGCAAGAUCCAACAAAGCUGAAAGAUGGAAUCUGAGGGCUCUCAGAACUCCCAAUAGGCCCAAGGCUCAGAGAGGAAACAAAAUCCACUCAAGGUCAUGAACACUCGCUUUUCCCUGCUGACUGAUGGUAGCACUGGGAUUCGAUUCAGAUGCCAGGACAAAAGGACAAGGUGGCCAAGAGAAGUAGAAAGGUGUUGAGAGGAGAAGGAGAAUGGGAAAGGGCCAAUAAGAAGACAAUGAAAACAAGCAGCGCCAAGGCAGCUGGGCCAGGCUGGACUCACACACUCCCUGAAGGCUCGGGUCCAGGAGGCACUGGUGGUGCGAUGGUUUUCUUCUCCUUUUGAGGAUUUCCAACGCUAUUGCUAGCCUUUGUUUGUUUAACAUAACCUAUUUUUUGCUGCUAUUUUUCCUUGCAAAUUUAUGCUUUGUUUUUCUUUUUUUGGAGACAACUUCUCGCUCUAUCACCCAGGCUGGAGUGCAGUGGUACGACUUCGGCUACUACAACCUCUGCCUCCUGGGUUCAAGCGAUUCUCGUGCCUCAGCCUCCCUAGUAGCUGGAACUACAGGCAUGCGCUGCCACACCCGGCUAAUUUUUGUAUUUUCAGUAGAGACAAGGUUUUGCCAUGUUUUCCAGGCUGGUCUCGAACUACCUGCCUCAAGCGAUCUGACCGCCUCGGCUUCUGAAAGUGCUGGGAUUACAGGUAUGAGCCACCAUGCCCAGCCAGUUUGUUUGUUUUUUUUGAGACACGGUCUUGCUCUGUUGCACAGGCUAGAGUGUAGUAGCUCACUGCAGCAACCCUCAACUCCCCUGGGCUCAAGCAAUCCUCCAGCCCAGCCCCCUAAGAAGCUAGGACUACAAGCACACAACACUACAACUGGCUGAUUUUUAUUUUUAUUUUUUUUGCCCAGGCUGGUCUUGAACUCCUGGCCUCAAGCGAUCCUCUCACCUUGACCUUACAAAGUGCUGGGUUUACAGGCAUGAGCCACUGCGCCUAGCCAUUUUUUGUGUGUGUGUGUCUAUUCUUUUGCCUCAAAGAGGAAGGAAACUGAGCAGAAGGGCUGCUUCUACUCCAGGCAUAUCCCAGUCUUCCUGGGUGAUGAGAAGAGCUCUGUCUAUUGGGAACACACUAAGAGCCCAGCUCUGUGCUAUA